CCUAUUUUGAUAAGAGUUAUUUAUUUAAGACAAAGUGUGAUCGAGUGGGAAGCCUGGCUUGUGUCGCCACGGCACUGUUGAGCUGUCGUGCAGAGUGGGAGGGAGUGAGCUGCAGCCACCUUUGGGGAGCAGCUGUUCUCACCUGCAGGGUAACAGCUGACUCGGGAGAACACCUCAAACUGCUGACGUUCACCCCAUGACUCCCCACCCUGACAUCUGCUGUACAGCCUUCCCAACGGUUUGUUUUUAAAGUUGUUUUUUUUUUUUUUUACGUAUGUGUGGGUGUGCGUGAGUACACCAUGUGGGUAUGGGAGUUGUCUCUCCCCUUCACGUGGCUAGAAAAAUCUUCACACUGUCUCUUGAGUAACCCAUAUCGGCCCCUUAGCUGUUGCUCUAGACCAGGGUGACAGCCAAUGGCCUCCUCGCUGAUGUUCUUUGUCCUGCAUCUUCUGCAUUAAUCUUUACUACAGAUUAGACUAUCUAAAGUCAGUUUCAUCUCGCUCCAAGCUUCAUGUGGGUUCUGUUUGCUUCGCAACUACCGACACUCUCUUGGGAGGCUGUAGAGGUCCCUGAACCCCACCCAUGCAGCCCUCUUCCCACAGGUCUAGCUCUUGGCGGAGGGCUGACAGGGCUCCCCUCUUCCCUUCAGUCUU
rnacentral:antisense_RNA from 1 species